GGCCAGGAAACUAAUGGAAACCAUUAAAAAAAAUGGCUCCAAGUUGCUACAGGAGUUAUAACUAGAGUACUAAGCUGGAGUGGAGAGUGGAGGGUGGGAGCCAUAAUGAUCGAUAGGAACAGAAAGUAGAGGAACAGCUAGGUGGCUCAAUGAACAGGCAGACAGAGAGACUUGGAGAUGGGAAGUCCUGGAUUCAAAUGUGGCCUCAGAUACUUCCUAGCUGUAUGAUCCUAGGCAAAUCAUUUAAUCUCCAUUAUUUAAUUUAUUAAUCUUCUGCCUUGGAACCAAUAUUUAGUAUUGAUUCUAAGAAAAAAGUGAGGAUUUUAAGGGGAGGUAAAAAGGUAAGUGGAGCCAGUGAGAAGAUAAUGGAUUAUUCAACUUCUUUAGUGACAAAACCUCCCUACACUCUGGACACUAAGGCCUCUCAGACAGCCUUUCCAGUCUACUCACAAAAAUGUAACCAUGGUGCAAGCCUUCAUCUCUUCAAUCCGCACUAUUGUCUUGGCUCUCUGGUCUGUCACCUCUGGGCUACCCUUAUCUCCCACCCCUCCAUACUAGUCCCUGCCCUCUGAAAUUAGCUAUUGUCUCUACUGUAUGGACCUCCUGUGUUUUCCUGUUGUCUCCCUCAUUAGAAUAUGAGCUCCUUGUAGGCAUUCUUUGUUUUGCCUUUCUUUGCAUUUCCUGGUUCUGUAAUAAUACAUUGCACAGUUGCUGGCCAAUAGUGUGUGUUUAAUAAAUGUUUGUUCAUUGACUGACUGACUGACUGACUGAUUUCUUUGGGGAUUCUGGUACAGAGCUAUCUUGAUCUUUCCUUCUUCCACAUAUCUGUUUGCCCAAGUCUGAGGAGCACAUCUAGUUUCUCUUUUUUCACCACCAAGGUAUGAAUGAGUCUCAGUCCUUCCCUUUGUUGCAACUGGUUUAUCAUAUUUACCUUUCUCCCUUCACUUUCUGCUGGCCUCUGUGUGCGUUGAAGCAAAUGAACUCUGGAGAUUAGGAAUCUAAAGAGCCAGCACCAGAUUCUGCUUCUCAGAGACAAGACCAGAGGCAAAAUGUCAGUGGAAUUACUACUCUGGUGGUUUAUAAUACUUUGCCUGAGGGUCUCGCUAUUCAAUCUCUUCAUGCUUACCACGCCACAAUCAAAGGUUUCUGCCCCCUCCUGUUCCCCUCAUUGACCCACCUAAUCCAGCUCUCUCAUCUAACUUGGAGUGGACCUGGGAGCAGUGUAGCUACCAUCAAUAGAAAUCCAAAUGAAAGCCUCUCUGCCCUCAUACACCCUCUCCCCAACUCAAAGGCCCCUGAGGUGUUUUCAUUAGUCCUCUGGUUCUUUAUAGGUAUAGCCAAGGAAUCUGUGGAUCUUUACCCUUCAAGCUGCUAUAUCCUAGGACAGCAUUGGCCAACCUUUUCAGAGUUUGAGUAUCCAGAGGACAAAUUCAAGCUAUCUGCUUGCCAUCAUUAUCAAGGGAAAGAAUGGAUUAAACCCUGAAGUUACUCAGAUGCAAGCUAUUAUCAUCUCUUGAAAACAAAGUACAGCUGAAUUAGCAUCCUAUAAGUCCCUAGCCUUCCAGUACUUGGAAGAAGGAUGAGGAUGAUGAUAACAGAAACACUCUCACCUUUUUUUACAAGUAAGUUUUACAUCUCUUCCCCAGUCCCAUGCAGCUGAAUCUUACCUUGUAACCAAGAACAGUUGAGCAAAAACAACCAAAACAGUGACUCAUCUCAUAAUAAACGCAAUGGUCUAUCCUUGUACUUUGUUGCA
rnacentral:lncRNA from 1 species